UACGGGGGGAGCAAGCGUUGUUCGGAUUUACUGGGCGUAAAGGGCGCGUAGGCGGUCAGCACAAGUCAGUUGUGAAAUCUCCGGGCUUAACUCGGAAAGGUCAACUGAUACUGUGCGACUAGAGUGCAGAAGGGGCAACUGGAAUUCUCGGUGUAGCGGUGAAAUGCGUAGAUAUCGAGAGGAACACCUGCGGCGAAGGCGGGUUGCUGGGCUGACACUGAGGCACGAAAGCCAAGGGAGCAAACAGG
rnacentral:rRNA from 1 species